GCCGGGUUCGGGGGGGGGGAAGGGGAGGGGACACCUGCACGGGCUGAGAGCGGCCAGGUGAGUCCGGACAGGUAAAUCCUGGCCCCUCCCCCCUGUCCAGGUGAGUCCUGGCCAGGUAAAUCCUGGUUCCUCCCCUGUGUCCAGGUGAAUCCCGGAACCUGAUCCUGUCCAGGUGAGUCCCGGGCUCUGAGUCUGGUCAGGUGAGUCUCGGCCAGGUGAGUCCCAGCCAGGUAAAUCCUGGUUCCUUCCCUUUGUCCAGGUGAGUCUCAGCCCCUGAGUCGAGCCAGGUGAGUCCAGGUGAGCCCAGGUGAGUCCCAGGUGUCUGAUCCAGGUGAGUCCCAGGUGAGUCCCAGC